rnacentral:rRNA from 1 species
CGGAGGAAAAGAAACCAACAGGGAUUGCCUCAGUAACGGCGAGUGAAGCGGCAAAAGCUCAAAUUUGAAACCCUCGGGAUUGUAAUUUGAAGAUUUGGCAUUGGAGAAAGCUAACCCAAGUUGCUUGGAAUAGUACGUCAUAGAGGGUGACAACCCCGUCUGGCUAACCGUUCUCCAUGUAUUGCCUUAUCAAAGAGUCGAGUUGUUUGGGAAUGCAGCUCAAAGUGGGUGGUAAACUCCAUCUAAAGCUAAAUACUGGUGAGAGACCGAUAGCGAACAAGUACUGUGAAGGAAAGGUGAAAAGAACUUUGAAAAGAGAGUGAAAUAGUAUGUGAAAUUGUUGAUAGGGAAGGAAAUGAGUGGAGAGUGGCCGAGGUUUCAGCCGCCCCUCGUGGGCGGUGUACUGCCGACGCCGAGUCAUCGAUAGCGAGACGAGGGUUACAAAUGGGAGCGCCUUUCGGGCGUUCUCCCCUAACCCUCCACACUGCCACCGACGACAUAAUCCACCCAUUUCACCCGUCUUGA